GACGAACGCUGGCGGCGUGCUUAACACAUGCAAGUCGAGCGGUAAGGCCCUUUCGGGGGUACGACGAGCGGCGAACGGGUGAGUAACACGUGGGUGACCUGCCCUCAGCUCUGGGGAUAAGCCUGGGAAACUGGGUCUAAUACUGGAUAUGACUCCACGGUGCAUGUCGGUGGGGUGGAAAGCCUUGUGCGGCUGAGGAUGGGCCCGCGGCCUAUCAGCUUGUU
rnacentral:rRNA from 1 species